AAUAGGGCAGACACUUAGCAGCACAUAUUGGAAAGAUACAGCCAAGAUUACCAUAGCCCCUGUGCAAGGCUGACAUGAAAAUCCGUGAAGCAGUACAUAUUAUU